CUAUAGCCUUGGGGGGUGGGGCUGGCCUACUUCGUCCGCCAGACUCGGAAUGCCGCUAGAGUUUGCUAGGGGUCUCCGUGUGCCAAUAAUAGCCCACGGCCAAAGCCGCGCCUAAAAAUACCCGCCCGAAGGCCGGGGCGCCAAGUUCGUCCAGCAGAAAAAGGCCACAAAAACGGGUGGGCUAUAGCCUUGGGGGUGAUGCUGGCCAACUUCGUCCGCCGAACUCGGAAUGCCGCGACAUUUUGUGAGGGUCCUCCGUGUCGCAAAAAUAGGCUGCGGGCAAUGCCGCGCCCAAAAAUAACCCCCCGACGGCCGGGGCGCCAAGUUCGUCCAGCGGAAAAAGGCCACGAAAACGGGUGGGCUAUAGCCUUGGGGGUGAUGCUGGCCUACUUCAUCCGCCGGACUCGGAAUGCCGCGAGACUUUGUGAGGGGCCUCCGUGUGCCAAAAAAAGGCCGCGGGCAAAGCCGCGCCCAAAAUUAACCGCACGAAGGCCGGGGCGCCAAGUUCGUCCAGCGGAAAAAGGCCACAAAAACGGGUGGGCUAUAGCUUUGGGGGGUGGGGCUGGCCAACUUCGUCCGCCGGACUCGGAAUGCCGCGAGACUUUGCGAGGGGCCUCCGUGUGCCAAAAAUAGGCCGCGGGCAAAGCCGCGCCCAAAAUUAACCGCCCGAAGGCCGGGGCGCCAAGUUCGUCCAGCGGAAAAAGGCCACAAAAACGGGUGGGCUAUAGCCUUGGGGGGUGGGGCUGGCCCACUUCGUCCGCCGGACUCGGAAUGCCGCGAGACUUUGCGAGGGGUCUCCGUGUGCCAAUAUUAGGCCCCGACCAAAGUUGCACCUAAAAAUAACCGCCCGAAGGCCGGGGCACCAAGUUCGUCCAGCGGAAAAAGGCCACAAAAACGGGUGGGCUAUAGCCUUGGGGGUGAUGCUGGCCAACUUCGUCCGCCGGACUCGGAAUGCCGCGACACUUUGUGAGGGUCCUCUGUGUGCCAAAAAUAGGCCGCGGGCAAUGCCGCGCCCAAAAAUAACCGCCCGACGGCCGGGGCGCCAAGUUCGUCUAGCGGAAAAAGGCCACGAAACGAGGUGGGCUAUAGCCUUGGGGGUGAUCCUGGCCAACUUCGUCCGCCGGACUCGGAAUGCCACGAGACUUUGUGAGGGGCCUCCGUGUGCCAAAAAUAGGCCGUGGGUAAAGCCGCGCCCAAAAAUAACCGCCCAAAGGCCGGGGCGCCGAGGUCGUCCAGCGGAAAAAGGCCCCAAAAACGGGUGGGGUAUAGCCUUGGGGGGUGGGGCUGGCCAACUACGUCCGCUGGACUCGGAAUGCCGCGAUACUUUGCGAGGGGCCUCCGUGUGCCAAAAAUAGGACACGGGCAAAGCCGCGCCCAAAAAUAACCGCCCGAAGGCCGGGGCGCCAAGUUCGUCCAGCGGAAAAAGGCCACAAAAACGGGUGGGCUAUAGCCUUGGGGGGUGGAGCUGGCCAACUUCGUCUACCGGACUCUGAAUGCCACGAGACUUUGCGAGGGGCCUCCGUGUGCCAAAAUAGGCCACAGACAAAGCCGCGCCCAAAAUUAACCGCCCGAAGGCCGGGGCGCCAAGUUCGUCCAGCGGAAAAAGGCCACAAAAACGGGUGGGCUAUAGCCUUGGGGGGUGAUGCUGGCCGACUUCGUCCACCGGACUCUGAAUGCUGCGAGACUUUGCGAGGGGCCUUCGUGUGCCAAAAAUAGGCCGCGGGCAAAGCCGCGCCCAAAAAUAACCGUCCGAAGGCCGGGGCGCCAAGUUCGUCCAGCGGAAAAAGGCCACAAAAACGGGUGGGCUAUAGCCUUGGGGGGUGGGGCUGAUCAACUUCGUCCGCCGGUCUCGGAAUGCCGCGAGACUUUGCGAGGGGCCUCCGUGUGCCAAAAAUAGGCCGCGGGCAAAGCCGCGCCCAAAAUUAACCGCCCGACGGCCGGGCCGCCAAGUUCGUCCAGCGGAAAAAGGCCACGAAAACGGGUGGGCUAUAGCCUUGGGGGUGAUGCUGGCCUACUUCGUCCGCCGGACUCGGAAUGCCGCGAGACUUUGCGAGGGGCCUCCGUGUGCCAAAAAUAGGCCGCGGGCAAAGCCGCGCCCAAAAUUAACCGCACGAAGGCCGGGGCGCCAAGUUCGUCCAGCGGAAAAAGGCCACAAAAACGGGUGGGCUAUAGCCUUGGGGGGUGGGGCUGGCCAACUUCGUCCGCCGGACUCGGAAUGCCGCGAGACUUUGCGAGGGGCCUCCGUGUGCCAAAAAUAGGCCGCGGGCAAUGCCGCGCCCAAAAAUCACCGCCCGACGGCCCGGGGCGCCAAGUUCGUCCAGCGGAAAAAGGCCACGAAAACGGGUGGGCUAUAGCCUUGGGGGUGAUGCUGGCCAACUUCGUCCGCCGGGACUCGGAAUGCCGCAAGACUUUGCGAGGGGCCUCCGUGUGCCAAAAAUAGGCCGCGGACAAAGCCGCGCCCAAAAUUAACGGCCCGAAGGCCGGGGCGCCGAGUUCGCCCAGCGGAAAAAGGCCACAAAAACGGGUGGGCUAUAGCCUUGGGGGGUGGGGCUGGUCAACUUCGUCCGCCGGUCUCGGAAUGCCGCGAGACUUUGCGAGGGGCCUCCGUGUGCCAAAAAUAGGCCGCGGGCAAAGCCGCGCCCAAAAUUAACCGCCCGACGGCCGGGCCGCCAAGUUCGUCUAGCGGAAAAAGGACACAAAAACGGGUGGGCUAUAGCCUUGGGGGGUGAUGCUGGCCAACUUCGUCCGCCGGACUCGGAAUGCCGUGAGACUUUGCGAGGGGCCUCCGUGUGCCAAACAUAGGCCAUGGGAUGUUUAAAAGGUUUGUGGUUCAAAAUUUUAUGUUAUCUAGUGAUAAAAUUUUGUAGUGCAUUUUAUAGAUAGGUAGCAGCAGCAAGUUCCGGGGCGCCAAGUUUGUCCAGCGGAAAAAGGCCACAAAAACGGGUGGGCUAUAGCCUUGGGGGGUGAUGCUGGCCAACUUCGUCCGCCGGACUCGGAAUGCCGCGAGACUUUUCGAGAGGCCUCCGUGUGCCAAAAAUAGGCCGCGGACAAAGCCGCGCCCAAAAUUAACCGCCUGAAGGCCGGGGCGCCAAGUUCGUCCAGCGGAAAAAGGCCACAAAAAUGGGUGGGCUAUAGCCUUGGGGGGUGGGGCUGGACAACUUCGUCCGCCGGACUCGGAAUGCUGUGAGACUUUGCGAGGGGCCUCCGUGUGCCAAAAAUAGGCCGCGGGGAAAGCCGUGUCCAAAAAUAACGGCCCGACGGCCGGGGCGCCAAGUUCGUCCAGCGGAAAAAGGCCACAAAAACGGGUGGGUUGUAGCCUUGGGGGGUGAUGCUGGCCAACUUCGUCCGCCGGACUCGGAAUGCCGCGACACUUUACGAGGGGCCUCCGUGUGCCAAAAAAAGGCCGCGGGCAAAGCCGCGCCCAAAAUUAACCGCCCGAAGGCCGGGGCGCCAAGUUCGUCCAGCGGAAAAAGGCCACAAAAACGGGUGGGCUAUAGCCUUGGGGGGUGGGGCUGGCCAACUUCGUCCGCCAGACUCGGAAUGCCGCUAGAGUUUGCGAGGGGUCUCCGUGUGCCAAUAAUAGGCCACGGCCAAAGCCGCGCCAAAAAAUAACCGCCCGAAGGCCGGGGCGCCAAGUUCGUCCAGCAGAAAAAGGCCACAAAAACGGGUGGGCUAUAGCCUUGGUGGGUGGGACUGGCCAACUUCAUCCGCCGGACUCGGAACACUACGAGACUUUGCAAGUGGCCUCCGUGUACCAUACAAAGGCCACGGACAAAGCCGCGCCCAAAAAUAACCGCCCGAAGGCCGGGGCGCCAAUUUCAUCCAGCGGAAAAAGGCCACA
rnacentral:lncRNA from 1 species